rnacentral:tRNA from 1 species
GCGGGGAUGGAGCAAUGGUGGCUUCUCAGGUUCAUACCCUGGAGAUCGGUAGGUUCGAUUCCUACCCCCGCG